UACGAGGGGGGCGAGCGUUAAUCGGAAUUACUGGGCGUAAAGCGUGCGCAGGCGGUUUUGUAAGUCUGUCGUGAAAUCCCCGGGCUUAACCUGGGAAUUGCGAUGGAGACUGCAUAGCUAGAGUACGGUAGAGGGGGAUGGAAUUCCGCGUGUAGCAGUGAAAUGCGUAGAUAUGCGGAGGAACACCGAUGGCGAAGGCAAUCCCCUGGACCUGUACUGACGCUCAUGCACGAAAGCGUGGGGAGCAAACAGG
rnacentral:rRNA from 1 species